rnacentral:misc_RNA from 1 species
AAAGCCCCUCAACUUCAGCAUGUCCAACAGCUAAACUUUGGAUGUUAUACCCUCGUCGAGCAAAAACUCCGGUGACUAUGUUGAGAACUCCAGGAGAGUCAUUCACAAGCAUUGACAAAGUGUGUGAGCGGAGCCCACUCGUAUCUUCAUCAUUGAGAACACCCCAGUGAGCAUCAAGAACUUGAUUGACUCCAGAGUUGCCAUCUGUCUCGACAGGAUAAACAUCUCCCUCAGCCAUAGACAUAGAUUCUCCAUUAGAAGUCUUCUUGGUUGUCCCUGCAACAGUAUUAGCAGACAUUGCAACUUCAAGAUCUGGGUAUGAUGCUGCUGAAAACCGCCAAAAAGGAGCAGAUUCCCCCAUCUUUUCCCUUCUCAAGGCAAUCUUCCCAGUACGCGCAAUUUCUCUAAUUCCAAAUUUACUUAAGUUCCUCUGAACAGCCACCAUCUUCCCUGGAUCUCCAGUUACCUCAAUAGUCAGUGAAUGAUCAGAGAUAUCCACAAUUUUUGCCCUGAAAAUGUCCACCAACCACAUAACCUCUGCGCGGAAUUUUGGAUCUGCGCUGAUUUUGAUAAGCAUUAGUUCACGUUCAACUUGUGGCUCCUUGGAUAGAUCUUCAACCUUGAUCACAUUUACGAGCUUUUGUAACUGUUCCAUAACUUGCUGUAACACCCUUUCAGUUCCAGAAACCACUAUAGUAAAAAGAGCCUUGUCCUUGUUUAGACCAACAGCAAGAGACUCAAUAUUAUACCCUCUUCGAGCAAA